rnacentral:rRNA from 1 species
GACGAACGCUGGCGGCGUGCCUAACACAUGCAAGUCGAGCGGAGUCAGUAAGAGGAAGUUUUCGGAUGGAAUCUUAUUGAUUUAGCGGCGGACGGGUGAGUAACGCGUGAGCGACCAACCUUGCACAGGGGGAUAACGGACCGAAAGGUUCACUAAUACCGCAUGAGACCACGGUGUUGCAUGACACAGAGGUCAAAGGAGCAAUCCGGUGCAAGACGGGCUCGCGUCCGAUUAGGUAGUUGGAGGGGUAACGGCCCACCAAGCCUAUGAUCGGUAGCCGACCUGAGAGGGUGAUCGGCCACAUUGGAACUGAGAUACGGUCCAAACUCCUACGGGAGGCAGCAGUGGGGAAUAUUGGGCAAUGGGGGAAACCCUGACCCAGCAACGCCGCGUGAAGGAAGAAGGUUUUCGGAUUGUAAACUUCUGUCCUUGGUGAAGAGAAGAAGACGGUAGCCAAGGAGGAAGCCCCGGCUAACUACGUGCCAGCAGCCGCGGUAACAC